AACAACUGAAACAAAAAACGGAGAGAGAUAAAUUUAAAAAUUUGGUGCAAAUUGUGUGUGUUUUUUUUAUACAUAUAUAAUUAUUUAACAACUUGAACUGAAUCACACUCAAUUAGGUAUGCUAAUUGAGUAGUAGAAGAAGAAGAAAAGAAAACAUUAUCAUAAAUAAAUCGCCUCAUACUUUGCUACAAAUAGUCAAAUGAACGAACAAACGGACAGCAGCUCAUAAAUUCUCAGGAAAAAAACAACCAAGUGACAAACUGAUCAAUUUCAACGACGGUCUCGUUUUGUGUGAUCUUCCCCGACAACAACAACAACGACGAAACGAAGCUACAACGACGACGACUUUUGCAUGCUAAACAAUUUGGUUGUACACACAAUUGGCAUAUAAAUUUUUUAACAGCCACCAAAUUGCAAGCAAAGACCCACUAAACAAAGCAGGUGGAGGAUCUAACCAGGUGUUGUAUGGAGUGAGCUCUACCUUCAUUUCGUUUCGUUUCGUUAUCGUGUGCUAAAUCUUAAAACAUUUUCCAAACAUUUCUAGUACAUGAAACACCUAACUCUCUGGAAAUGAACUUCAAUCAUUAUUAUUCUUUAGGAGUUAAGCUUAACGGUACGUUUCUUGUUAUCCGAUCAAAGAUUAUAAUCAAUCUACACAUGCUUGGCAUUUGAUCAAGGACAGAGAAAGAAAAGAAAAAAAACAAGCUGCGAAAAGUUUGAAAAGUUAAUGGAGAAUAAAAGAGACGAACAAGUGAAAGUGGUCAGCCUAAAUUGUUUGAGAAUAAAUAACAUAAUAAUAAUAAUUUCAAUGAAUCUAAUCCCAAUUAAAAGGUUUAUAUCUAUUUUAAUUUCAACAACAGAAAAGGAUAUUGAGAACAUUCCACA